rnacentral:rRNA from 1 species
UACGUAGGGUGCAAGCGUUAAUCGGAAUUACUGGGCGUAAAGCGUGCGCAGGCGGUUUUGUAAGUCUGACGUGAAAUCCCCGGGCUCAACCUGGGAAUUGCGUUGGAGACUGCAAGGCUGGAGUCUGGCAGAGGGGGGUAGAAUUCCACGUGUAGCAGUGAAAUGCGUAGAGAUGUGGAGGAACACCGAUGGCGAAGGCGGCCCCCUGGGUCAAGACUGACGCUCAUGCACGAAAGCGUGGGGAGCAAACAGG